rnacentral:rRNA from 1 species
GGGGGUUGUUUGUUUAGGGGGGGGGUGCUAUCAUGCAGUCGUACGCUUCUUUUUCCACCGGAGCUUGCUCCACCGGAAAAAGAAGAGUGGCGAACGGGUGAGUAACACGUGGGUAACCUGCCCAUCAGAAGGGGAUAACACUUGGAAACAGGUGCUAAUACCGUAUAACAAUCGAAACCGCAUGGUUUUGAUUUGAAAGACGCUUUCGGGUGUCGCUGAUGGAUGGACCCGCGGUGCAUUAGCUAGUUGGUGAGGUAACGGCUCACCAAGGCCACGAUGCAUAGCCGACCUGAGAGGGUGAUCGGCCACAUUGGGACUGAGACACGGCCCAAACUCCUACGGGAGGCAGCAGUAGGGAAUCUUCGGCAAUGGACGAAAGUCUGACCGAGCAACGCCGCGUGAGUGAAGAAGGUUUUCGGAUCGUAAAACUCUGUUGUUAGAGAAGAACAAGGAUGAGAGUAACUGUUCAUCCCUUGACGGUAUCUAACCAGAAAGCCACGGCUAACUACGUGCCAGCAGCCGCGGUAAUACGUAGGUGGCAAGCGUUGUCCGGAUUUAUUGGGCGUAAAGCGAGCGCAGGCGGUUUCUUAAGUCUGAUGUGAAAGCCCCCGGCUCAACCGGGGAGGGUCAUUGGAAACUGGGAGACUUGAGUGCAGAAGAGGAGAGUGGAAAUUCCAUGUGUAGCGGGUGAAAAUGCGUAGAUAUAUGGAGGAACACCAGUGGCGAAGGCGGGCUCUCUGGUCUGUAACUGACGCUGAGGCUCGAAAGCGUGGGGGAGCAAACAGGAUUAAAUACCCUGGGGAGACCACGCCGUAAACGAUGAGUGCUAAGUGGUUGUAGGGUUUUCCGCCCCUUCAGUGCUGGCAGCUAAGCU